ensembl:lncRNA
UGUUGACAGGGGAGAUUGGUCCUUUAUAGUUCUAGACUUACAGAUAUGCUCAUAAACCAGAGAUCCCUUAACAGUAACAAUUACCAUUUCUUGAGCAUUGUGAUGGUCAAUUCACUUAUCUUCUCUGCCUCUCUGGGCUCUGCAAGCCUGACCUCUGUGGACUGCUUGAUCCAGGUUUGGAGCCCUCAGUUUCACCCAUGGAAGCCAUACACAAGAGAUCAGAAGGCAGGAAAACAGAGAAAUGUGCAGAAAAUUGAGAGCCAGAUCCCCCUUCUGUGGCUACUAAGAACAAACAAAACAACCCUGAAGUCUCCCGGUGAUCGCUCCAAUCCCCAGACCCUCUCCCCAACCCAGCCUGAGAAGCAUCCCACUACUGGGGGAAGAGGAGGGCUGGGGAAGAGUAAGUAUUCUGCUUAGUAAGUCAGGGUUCCAGCUUUCCAACAACCCACAUGUUAGCUGACUCCCUCACUGAGCUUUGUAGGCUGCAUGGUAUUUGAUGGUUCAGCUGAAGACAUUUCCAGGCACUGCACAAAGAUGCCGUCCAAGAAACAACAGUUCAAUUUCAACAGUUUCCAUCUUUGCCAAUAUAGCAUGGCAAUGAUUGAAUGUUAACUCCCAUAGCCUGAAAUAUACCUUUCUUUCACACAGAUUUUAUAAACCUGUGACUGAGUCAAAUAUUUAAGUUAUUUUUCCACUUCAUCAAUUCAUCCUUUUAAACCCCUGCCCUUCUAGGGGUUAGUUAGUCCAGAGAAUAGAAAUACCCUAUUUGCUUAGUAAAUUGCUUACAGGUCUUGUGGCACCAAAGUUAACAUUGCAUUGCAAAGCACAGCCACUAUAGGGCACUCUUCUUCCCAGAUGUGCCAGUGGAGAGAUUUUUGAGGUUGGUGCAACACUGACCCUCAAGUGAAC